rnacentral:rRNA from 1 species
UACGUAGGGGGCAAGCGUUGUCCGGAAUUAUUGGGCGUAAAGAGCUCGUAGGCGGUGUGUCGCGUCGGCCGUGAAAACCUGCAGCUUAACUGUGGGCUUGCGGUCGAUACGGGCAUCACUGGAGUUCGGCAGGGGAGACUGGAAUUCCUGGUGUAGCGGUGAAAUGCGCAGAUAUCAGGAGGAACACCGGUGGCGAAGGCGGGUCUCUGGGCCGAUACUGACGCUGAGGAGCGAAAGCGUGGGAAGCAAACAGG